rnacentral:lncRNA from 1 species
CACUACUCUCCCGGAACUGAGGCUUUGAGAUCUACAUUGCGCGCGAGGUUGAUGGAAACUUUACAUUUUCACUUUGUUACGUCUUUGGUGAGCAAAACAGCUAAUAACUUAGCUAAAUACUGACUUUAUCCUCAAUCGAGAUAUCUGUCCGUGGUUUCAGCUCCAACUGAAGUUAAAGGUGCAUUUCAGACACACAUGUUCGUGUCUAUUCAGGAUGUAGUGUACUCAGACUGUCUAGCUCUAGCUAAUAACACAGCAUAGUAGGCUAUUGGUUGACAGACAGCCGCUGAUCACAUCACCGCCAGCCAGGGACGUCACUAGACAUUAAUGGAUGGGGGGGCUAAGCCUCUUUUAGGGAGGUCUGACAUACUCCCUCCGGUCCGUUUAUUGUUAGCUAGCAGUCUCAAGCCACAGAAGUAGCUAACGUUAACUUAAACGUUGCAUGUACACUAGAUAGUGGUAAACUGCUGAGGCCGCCCAUUGGGACUCGCUUGUGGGCGUGCUGGCAGCAAAUGGCAGCCAGUUUGAUUGUGCGUCAAGAAUUCAGCACAGCAAGUUUGUAUGAAGAUCUGGUUAUUAAAGGGGUUAUAUCAGCUGUGUUGGUGAACCCCUCCUGCAUCUGAACUGGCUACAUAGGGGGCACAGCAUGAUCAGAUUUGAGAGGUCACUUGGUCAGGUCAACAGGAACUAUUAUUAAAGAGAUGCUUUACAUUGAAAUACAGAUAGAUAUGUUUUGAUGUGAGAGGAUGCCAACCCCCAGUCUCAUCAUCGCCACCUCACCUGCUUUUAAGAACCUUUGGGCCGACGAGAGACACUAUUGUGUAAUUGUGAUGAACUGAGAGAAUAUUUAGGUAGCACUGUGAUUCAUUAAUCAUGUGCUGCCUUCCCUGCUCCUAUGUGCUUACCUCUUUCCCUUUCUGUCUUUUACACCUCUUUAUUCCUCUGUUUUUAUAAUGCACAACACAUGUGCAUUGAAGUACAGAUUGAACUUGUAUUUAUAACACUUGGAUAAAUGACCUUUUCAAUAAAGCAUUUCACAUUCUCUACUGGUUGAAAUUAAGUCUCAUCUAAUGAAAUACUCCACCUAUCCUGUGUUCAUCAGAUCAAUGCAGAUGAAGGGCAUUAGAUUUGAGAUGAACCGGUGUGAGACUAUUUACAUGAUGCAUAGGAAGUGUAGUGUACUGUUUUUCUGUAUAUAUGAAUUACAAAUCAGCCUUUAACUGUUUAAACCCUGUUUCUAGUCUGUUAGUUACAAUGUGUAACCAUUGAUGUCCC